rnacentral:rRNA from 1 species
ACGGGGUGCAGCAGGCGCGAAAACUUUACAAUGCUGGAAACAGCGAUAAGGGGACCUCGAGUGCCAGGUUACAAAUCUGGCUGUCGUGAUGCCUAAAAAGCAUUGCAUAGCAAGGGCCGGGCAAGACCGGUGCCAGCCGCCGCGGUAACACCGGCGGCUCGAGUGGUAACCGUUAUUAUUGGGUCUAAAGGGUCUGUAGCCGGCCGGGUAAGUCUCUUGGGAAAUCUGGCAGCUUAACUGUCAGGCUUUCAGGAGAUACUGUCUGGCUCGAGGCCGGGAGAGGUGAGAGGUACUUCAGGGGUAGGGGUGAAAUCUUGUAAUCCUUGAAGGACCACCAGUGGCGAAGGCGUCUCACCAGAACGGACCUGACGGCAAGGGACGAAAGCUAGGGGCACGAACCGGAUUAGAUACCCGGGUAGUCCUAGCCGUAAACGAUACUCGCUAGGUGUCGGCAACGGUGCGACCGUUGUCGGUGCCGUAGGGAAGCCGUGAAGCGAGCCACCUGGGAAGUACGGCCGCAAGGCUGAAACUUAAAGGAAUUGGCGGGGGAGCACCACAACGGGUGGAGCUUGCGGUUUAAUUGGAUUCAACGCCGGAAAUCUUACCGGGACCGACAGCAAUAUGAAGGCCAGGCUGAAGACUUUGCCGGAUUAGCUGAGAGGUGGUGCAUGGCCGUCGUCAGUUCGUACUGUGAAGCAUCCUGUUAAGUCAGGCAACGAGCGAGA